AAGUCGUAACAAGGUUUCCGUAGGUGAACCUGCGGAAGGAUCAUUAACACGUUAUCCACGUAUCAACCAACCGGCACUAAACGUUUUCAAUUCACUCCCUCCAAUACAAUGUCUCAUAGUUCGUUACGAUUUCGGGUAGUCGGUUUAAGCGGGGACACUUGUGUCCUACCUCCGCCCACAACACUUCAGUACUGCUUGUCGGUACUGGGACGAACAGAUUGAUAUGGUCGCGGGGACAACACCUUUUCCUUAGCGUCUGCUAAGUCUGCCUUUUUGGCGGUCGCUUUGGAUAUCACGAUGAAUUCGUGCAACCAACCUAUUUCACCCACCUUUUGCUAGUUGACUUUUAUAUUGUAUUGUUUGCUUCGGCAUGUGAUACACGUUUAAAUUAUUUGAACGUUAAAAAUACAACUCUUAGCAAUGGAUAUCUUGGUUCUC
rnacentral:misc_RNA from 1 species